rnacentral:rRNA from 1 species
UUUAUUAAAUUUUUUAAUGACAAAAAAAAUUAUUUAUAAUUAUUAUUAUUAAUUCAAAAUUUCACCUAAAAUCAAUAAAUUUAAUUAUAAUUUUUAUUACAAUUUAAAUUAAUAUUAGAAAAAAUUAAUUUAUAAGUCGAGUUUAACCGCUAUUGCUGGCACUCAUAUUUAUCCUUACUAGAACUAAUUUCCGAAUAAAACUUUCAUUCAUUGUUUCAGAAUUCUCUAUUAACUAUAAUUUACUAUAAUUUUUAAUAAUUUUUAUAUUUUAUAUAUAAAUCAAUUAAUACAAUUAAUCUUAAAAACUACAACAUGAUUUAUUUAAUAAAUUUAUAAUAAUAUAUAAUAAUAAAUAUAAAAUAAUUUUUUUAAAAAUAUAUAAUUUAAUUUUUAUUUAUUCAUAUCAUUUAAUAUAUAAUUUUAUUAUUUAGUAUAAAAUUUUAAAUAUAAAAUUAAUUAUUUUAUAUUAUAAAUAUUUUUUUUUAAUUAAUUAAUUUUAAUUAUUAAUAAUAAAUAAUAAAACAAGUUUUUUUUUUUUUUUUUGUUAUAUUUUAUUUAUAUAAAAUAAAAUAUAUAUAUAUAUAUAUAAUUAAAUAUAUAUAUAUAUAAUAUUAUAUAUAUAUUAAUAUAUAUAUAUAUAUAUAUAUAUAUAUAUAUAUAUAUAUCUAUUAAAUAUUUAUAUAAAUAUAAAUAAUUAUAUAUAUAUAUAAUAUUAUAUAUAUGUAUAUAUAUAUAUAUAUAUAUUAUAAUUAUAUAAAUAUAUAUAUAUUAUUUUAUUCUCUAAUUAUAUAUUAAUUUAUAAAUAAUUAUAUAUAUAUAAAUAUUAAUUUUAUAUUAAUAAAUAUAUAUAUAUAAUUAUAUAUUGAUUUAUAAAUAUUUAUAAAACCAAAAUUUAUUAAUUUAUUUUUUAAAAUUUAAUAAUUUUUAUAAAAUUAACUCAAUUUUUUAUACUAAUUCAAAAAAUUAUAUAAUAACAUAUAUGAAUAAAUAAGCAUAAUAAUUAAUUUUCAAUAUUUUUUCUUAAAUUAAAUAAUUUUUUAAUAAAAAAACUUAAAUAAAAAUAAAAACCUAAAUAAAAUAAAAAUUUUUUUAAAAAUAAAAAUUUUAAAAAAUAAAAACUUAAAAAAAAAAUUUAAAAAAAUAAAUAAAAUAAAAAAAUAGUAACAUUAAAAACAAUAAAAAUAAUAUUUUCAAUAAUAAAUUCUAUAUCAAUAAUAUUCCUUAUUUAAAAAUAUUACUUAAUUUAUUUAUAUAGUUUAAAAAAAAACAUUAUAUUUUCAAUAUAAAAAUAAUUAAAUUUAAUUUAUAAAUAUAAUUAAGUCAAAUUUAAUUUAAAUAACAAAUAAAUAACCUAAAAAUUAUUUAUUAAUAAAGAAAUAUCAAUAAAUAAAGCUUCUAACUUUAACUCUAGAUUCGUAAAUAAUCUAUAUUUCUUAUUAUAUAAUUUAAAUAAAUUUAAUUUUAAAAUAAAAUUAUAUAAUAAG